GACGAACGCUGGCGGCGCGCCUAACACAUGCAAGUCGAGCGAUGAAAUUUUAACCGAUCUCUUCGGAGAGAAGAUAAAAUGGAUUAGCGGCGGACGGGUGAGUAACACGUGAGAAACCUGCCUUUCACAAGGGGAUAGCCUCGGGAAACCGGGAUUAAUACCCUAUGACACAUUUCCUUCGCAUGGAAGAAAUGUUAAAACUCCGGUGGUGAAAGAUGGUCUCGCGCCUGAUUAGCUAGUUGGUGGGGUAACGGCCCACCAAGGCCAUGAUCAGUAACCGGCAGGAGAGGGGGAAAGGUCACAUUGGAACUGAGACACGGUCCAAAAUCCUACGGGAGGCAGCAGUGGGGAAUAUUGCACAAUGGAGGAAACUCUGAUGCAGCGACGCCGCGUGAGAGAUGAAGGCUUUCGAGUCGUAAAGCUCUGUCCUAUGGGAAGAUAAUGACGGUACCAUAGGAGGAAGCCCCGGCUAACUACGUG
rnacentral:rRNA from 1 species